GUUCAAGAGUACGUGAAACUGUGUGGUGGUAAACAGAGGGGUUCUCGAAGUCUCUGAGGGGAACUCAACCUUGGUGUCUGGCAGUCUGGGCGUAUCCGAUCAGCAAUGACUGUGCGCUCCGCCUGGCUCGGCUCUCGGGUGCAUUUCCCCCUCAGUUUACGGCAGGAACUGUUUGGCGCGGACCGGUGGCCACGGGUGAAGUUGUCGCUUAUGGUGGCAGCCCUGUGUGACCUGGCUCCGAGCCGGACAGGUAUUUAGAGAGGACUCGUAUAGCGAGCAAUGCUCUGUUGCAGUUCUCAUCUCUCUGCCGAGUAGGUCGGUGGCCCCUCUGACCCGUCUUGAAACACGGA
rnacentral:rRNA from 1 species